rnacentral:rRNA from 1 species
GAACGGGUGAGUAACGCGUAGGUAACCUGCCUGGUAGCGGGGGAUAACUAUUGGAAACGAUAGCUAAUACCGCAUGAUAUUGAUUAUUGCAUGAUAGUCAAUUAAAAGGUGCAAUUGCAUCACUACCAGAUGGACCUGCGUUGUAUUAGCUAGUUGGUGGGGUAACGGCUCACCAAGGCGACGAUACAUAGCCGACCUGAGAGGGUGAUCGGCCACACUGGGACUGAGACACGGCCCAGACUCCUACGGGAGGCAGCAGUAGGGAAUCUUCGGCAAUGGACGGAAGUCUGACCGAGCAACGCCGCGUGAGUGAAGAAGGUUUUCGGAUCGUAAAGCUCUGUUGUAAGAGAAGAACGAGUGUGAGAGUGGAAAGUUCACACUGUGACGGUAUCUUACCAGAAAGGGACGGCUAACUACGUGCCAGCAGCCGCGGUAAUACGUAGGUCCCGAGCGUUGUCCGGAUUUAUUGGGCGUAAAGCGAGCGCAGGCGGUUAGAUAAGUCUGAAGUUAAAGGCUGUGGCUUAACCAUAGUACGCUUUGGAAACUGUUUAACUUGAGUGCAAGAGGGGAGAGUGGAAUUCCAUGUGUAGCGGUGAAAUGCGUAGAUAUAUGGAGGAACACCGG